rnacentral:sRNA from 1 species
CCUGCACAGAUUGAAGAAGAUGGCGGUUAAAUUUUCAAGUGGAGUUAACCCUUUCACAUGAGGAGUACUUCGAGCCCUUGGAAGGGCAAAGAGGAGGAGCCUCACACAUGCUUUGCCAGUUUCCAAGAAGCUUGAGCAAAGCUGUUUUAACAAACAUGGAACCCUAAGCCAGGAUGGGAUGGGGGAUUCCACACUCUACCCAGCACACAAUAGAAGUCGUUGAGCCUAUUGGAUGAAGAUGGGGAAAGACAAAGCAGCAGACACCUCUAUCCUCCUGCCUCCACGUUCCAGCCCU